GUGUAUAAAACAAGAAUCAAUUAUUAUUCAGAGCUCGAUAAUCAGGAGUUUCAACUAAGAUUUCGGCUCGACAAGCAGUCUGUGCAAUUACUGUUAGGUGAAAUUUAUCCUUUUUUAAAGGUAAAAGGAACCAGGAAUCAUGGAAUAUCUCCCUUACAUUACAAUUUAUCAGUUUGUAAUGAAAUGAACGAACAACAAAGUACGACGCUAACACAAUUUUUUUGGUAUUUUGGCGCGGUCCGGCGACAUCUGGCGUUUCCUUUGUCUCUUCAUGGCGUUUUGUUCACUUUACAGUUAAAACUAAAGUAACUGUUUUUAAAUUGUGAAUGUUCAAAUAAAAUUACAUAUGUGAUGAAUUACAAUUAAUUUAUAUUAUUUUAAAAUAUUUAUGUAAAAAUACUAAUAAAAACUUAUGUAUUUUGAAAA